CGUAAUACCAAGUAAUGUAAAUCUGAUCUUUUCUAUUUGAAUAAACUGAGACAGGACAUGUAUCUAAUGAGAAGAACUGGGUGGGUGAGGAUUCUUCCAGUUCAGUAAUAUAAGUCUCUUUGCUACUAUUAAACAAAAGGCGAGCAUGUUUGAUUGUAAGGAUGACAAGGAGGGAUUUGUGGUGUUGAGCCCAAAUAAUGCUAUAAGGGGACAUGGUUUAAUAUCUAAAAUAAAGUAUUCAGAGAUUGAUUUAAAAAUUGAUGUCCAGAAAGAGGUCAAGGCUGGGCAAAGCCAAAAAGUAUGAUAAAGAGUAGCCGGAGCCGCCGACACCCAUCACAAGUUGGAUCCAAACAAGGGUUAAUUUUAGAUAGUUUGGUCUUUGUCCAAUACACUCUAUGCAACAAUUUAAACUGUAUUAACGAAUGACGGACGCAUAUAGAGGAGGAAUGUACACGACCAAGAGCCUUGGACCAUUCCUCAUCCGUGAAAUUAUAAUUAAGGUCCGAUUCCCAGUUACUCUUUAUUUUAGAAAGCGAUGAAGAGCCCGAUUGAACAACAAAUGAAAAAAUAGUUUUAUAAAUAUGAGAGACAGUACCCUUACAAAGUUUUGUUUCUAAAACUCGAUCAAUCUCUUGUUUAGGAGGUGGGUGCAGGAAAUGAGAGGAUGUGUUCCUUACAAAAUCACGAAUUUGGAGAUAUCGGAAAAAAUGAGUUUUAUGGAGGUUGAAUUUUUCUGACAGCCAUUCAGUUAAAACUUCUGAGGAGAAGUGGGUUCCACACACCAGCCAUCAACCAGAAAAGAGGUUCAAGCAGUCUCCAAACUCAGCACCUGUUUCAACUCUACCAGUAUGAAAGCAGUGUAAGCUUUGCAGAUUUGCCCACAGAAGCACAGAGGUCUUCUUGAAACACUACAGGUUUCGGCACUAUCGAGGGCGAUCCCGGCAGCUUGUAUACUGACUGCAUCUGCACUUUUAAAACUUUAGGCUUCUGAUUUGCUGCUUAAAGAAAAGCUACAGCUCUCAAAGCUCUACCUUUGUUUAUGAGCGAAAAGUGAAACUUCCUGAAGUCUUGCCUGGUCAGGGGUUUUUUCAUGCUGGAACACCGUUCAUUACAAUGAGACGAUGAUGUAAGAUGACGAGCCAAACCACGGAGACGAAGCUGACUGAGGUGAACCCCUCAAACUAACCCAGGAACAGAGAAGGAACUUUCUGACCACCUGCUGGUUUUGCACAAACAGA